rnacentral:sRNA from 1 species
GUUUCCUGGUGGAUCCAUUGACCUUCAGAAGGAAGACAAUGGCAUUGGCAUUCUUACCCUGAACAAUCCAAGUAAAAUGAAUGCCUUCUCAGGUGUUAUGAUGCUACAACUUCUGGAAAAAGUAAUUGAAUUGGAAAAUUGGACAGAGGGGAAAGGCCUCAUUGUCCGUGGGGCAAAAAAUACUUUCUCUUCAGGAUCUGAUCUGAAUGCUGUGAAAUCCCUGGGAACUCCAGAGGAUGGAAUGGCCGUAUGCAUGUUCAUGCAAAACACCUUAACAAGAUUUAUGAGGUAAUGCAUCCUUCUUUUUAAAAUAUGAUUUCUAAAAGACCAAAAAUAGCUUUUUACUAUUCCAUUAUUUGUACUAGUUAAGAAAUAAUAGCUAAUUUUCAAAUUACAUCUAUUCUAAUGAUGCACUAUUUUUUUGUGCCAUAGAGGAUAAUCAUUUAAUUACAUGUUAAUGAAGUAUAUACAUAUGUAUUUUA